rnacentral:rRNA from 1 species
UACGGAGGAUCCGAGCGUUAUCCGGAUUUAUUGGGUUUAAAGGGAGCGUAGGCGGGUUGUUAAGUCAGUUGUGAAAGUUUGCGGCUCAACCGUAAAAUUGCAGUUGAUACUGGCAUCCUUGAGUACGGUAGAGGUAGGCGGAAUUCGUGGUGUUGCGGUGAAAUGCUUAGAUAUCACGAAGAACUCCGAUUGCGAAGGCAGCCUGCUGGACUGUAACUGACGCUGAUGCUCGAAAGUGUGGGUAUCAAACAGG